UGGAGAUGCUCUAACGAGAACUUUCCCAAAUCCACAGGGCGAGGAUAUUUUGCGAUGGAGUAGCUAGGGAAGUGGAAGAAGAAACUGGUAUCGUUGCAGAUUUUGUGGAAGUGUUGUCUUUCAGGUAAAUUAUGUUUUCAUUGACUUGGCAACCAUCUGAUCUGGCUUACCCCAUUAGUUCCUGAUUGGGUUAUACUCUUUCUUUACUCGUAUAGGCAAAGCCACAAAGCAUUCUUGAAAAAGAAAUCGGAUUUGUUUUUCCUGUGUGCCUUAACUCCACGCUCCUACGAAAUCAUUGAACAAAAAUCUGAGAUCUUGGAAGCUAAGGUAUAUAAUAUUAACUUUCUAACUUUUUCUCACAGUUGUUGAUGAGCCAAGAAAAUAUUUAAAAGUUACUCUCACCUGAGCUUGUGUAUAUGGUUUUGUUUUUGGUUAUAGUGGAUGCCGAUAAAAAAAAUACGUAGACCAGCCAUUGAACCAGAACCAAGAGAUGUUCAAGUACAUGGCAAAUAUCUGCCAGAAGAAGUGUGAGGAAGAAUACUUGGGAUUCUCCACUGUGGAAACUACCACAGGAACUGGUAAGAAGAGCUUUGUUUACUGCAAUGCUGAUCAUGCCAUGAGCCUUAAUGCAGCGCGUGAUCAAGCCUCCUCUUCUCAUUGAUAACAUUCUCAUCAUCCCGAUUCUGUGUCGGAUGAGACAAUGUAUCCUUUUCCAGUUGUCAUUGUCUUUGUAAUUUGUUUUCAGUUAUUGUUCUCCAAAACAUUGAAAGCCUUAACCGGUUUUUAAAUUCUCAGCUUUACGUUUCAUGUUAUUUCUGGUUUAAUCUGAUUUCCCGGUCUUUAUUUUA